AUUGAACGCUGGCGGCAGGCCUAACACAUGCAAGUCGAGCGGAUGAAGGGGGCUUGCUCUUGGAUUCAGCGGCGGACGGGUGAGUAAUGCCUAGGAAUCUGCCCGGUAGUGGGGGAUAACGUCGGGAAACGGGCGCUAAUACCGCAUACGUCCUGAGGGAGAAAGUGGGGGAUCGUCGGACCUCACGCUAUUAGAUGAGCCUAGGUCGGAUUAGCUAGUUGGUGGGGUAAAGGCCUACCAAGGCGACGAUCCGUAACUGGUCUGAGAGGAUGAUCAGUCACACUGGGACUGAGACACGGUCCAGACUCCUACGGGAGGCAGCAGUGGGGAAUAUUGGACAAUGGGCGAAAGCCUGAUCCAGCCAUGCCGCGUGUGUGAAGAAGGUCUUCGGAUUGUAAAGCGCUUUAAGUUGGGAGGAAGGGCAGUAAGUUAAUACCUUGCUGUUUUGACGUUACCAAAAGAAUAAGCACCGGCUAACUACGUG
rnacentral:rRNA from 1 species